AUAAUGGGUCAGCGACUUAUAUUCUGUAGCAAGGUUAACCGAAUAGGGGAGCCGAAGGGAAACCGAGUCUUAACUGGGCGUUAAGUUGCAGGGUAUAGACCCGAAACCCGGUGAUCUAGCCAUGGGCAGGUUGAAGGUUGGGUAACACUAACUGGAGGACCGAACCGACUAAUGUUGAAAAAUUAGCGGAUGACUUGUGGCUGGGGGUGAAAGGCCAAUCAAACCGGGAGAUAGCUGGUUCUCCCCGAAAGCUAUUUAGGUAGCGCCUCGUGAAUUCAUCUCCGGGGGUAGAGCACUGUUUCGGCAAGGGGGUCAUCCCGACUUACCAACCCGAUGCAAACUGCGAAUACCGGAGAAUGUUAUCACGGGAGACACACGGCGGGUGCUAACGUCCGUCGUGAAGAGGGAAACAACCCAGACCGCCAGCUAAGGUCCCAAAGUCAUGGUUAAGUGGGAAACGAUGUGGGAAGGCCCAGACAGCCAGGAUGUUGGCUUAGAAGCAGCCAUCAUUUAAAGAAAGCGUAAUAGCUCACUGGUCGAGUCGGCCUGCGCGGAAGAUGUAACGGGGCUAAACCAUGCACCGAAGCUGCGGCAGCGACGCUGAUGCGUUGUUGGGUAGGGGAGCGUUCUGUAAGCCUGAGAAGGUGUGCUGUGAGGCAUGCUGGAGGUAUCAGAAGUGCGAAUGCUGACAUAAGUAACGAUAAAGCGGGUGAAAAGCCCGCUCGCCGGAAGACCAAGGGUUCCUGUCCAACGUUAAUCGGGGCAGGGUGAGUCGACCCCUAAGGCGAGGCCGAAAGGCGUAGUCGAUGGGAAACAGGUUAAUAUUCCUGUACUUGGUGUUACUGCGAAGGGGGGACGGAGAAGGCUAUGUUGGCCGGGCGACGGUUGUCCCGGUUUAAGCGUGUAGGCUGGUUUUCCAGGCAAAUCCGGAAAAUCAAGGCUGAGGCGUGAUGACGAGGCACUACGGUGCUGAAGCAACAAAUGCCCUGCUUCCAGGAAAAGCCUCUAAGCAUCAGGUAACAUCAAAUCGUACCCCAAACCGACACAGGUGGUCAGGUAGAGAAUACCAAGGCGCUUGAGAGAACUCGGGUGAAGGAACUAGGCAAAAUGGUGCCGUAACUUCGGGAGAAGGCACGCUGAUAUGUAGGUGAAGCGACUUGCUCGUGGAGCUGAAAUCAGUCGAAGAUACCAGCUGGCUGCAACUGUUUAUUAAAAACACAGCACUGUGCAAACACGAAAGUGGACGUAUACGGUGUGACGCCUGCCCGGUGCCGGAAGGUUAAUUGAUGGGGUCAGCGCAAGCGAAGCUCUUGAUCGAAGCCCCGGUAAACGGCGGCCGUAACUAUAACGGUCCUAAGGUAGCGAAAUUCCUUGUCGGGUAAGUUCCGACCUGCACGAAUGGCGUAAUGAUGGCCAGGCUGUCUCCACCCGAGACUCAGUGAAAUUGAACUCGCUGUGAAGAUGCAGUGUACCCGCGGCAAGACGGAAAGACCCCGUGAACCUUUACUAUAGCUUGACACUGAACAUUGAGCCUUGAUGUGUAGGAUAGGUGGGAGGCUUUGAAGUGUGGACGCCAGUCUGCAUGGAGCCGACCUUGAAAUACCACCCUU
rnacentral:rRNA from 1 species